rnacentral:lncRNA from 1 species
AGUGCCUUAUAACAUGUCUUUAUAACUGGCUGUGUAAGAAUGAAGAAAAGCUGUCCAUCUUCUGAGAAGGAAGCAGCAUGUGCCAUCCUUCUGUCAGAAAACACCAAAGAGAUGAAGAAAUGAGAAAUCCAGAAACCAAAGACCUUGCUCUUUUGUCAAACAGACUUGGUAGAGCAGAGUUGCAAAAUCAGACCUUUGGGGGCUUGCGUGUUUCUCCUCUUACUCCCUGGUGUAGAAGCCCUGCCUUGAACUUCAGGCUGCCUGGCUUGGAUCCUGAUGCUGCUUUGCUGACACAAUCCAUUCUCCCAGGGAACACCCAGAGUUCCACUCCAGCCCUGGCAACGCUGCAGCAGAGGCCAACUGUACGGAAAGUCUACAUUGGCUCGGAACAAUUGAGGCUGGGAGAGGGUAUCACAGCAAUUUCCCCACAUCCAUUCCAGCUGGUGAUUUCCUGCUUGGUCGUCUUUUAAAACCCAGCCAUCUGAAUCCGAGAGUUGCUUCUUCAGCAAGGCCUCCCCUGACUCCUUCAGAUGUCUAAGCACCACCCCUACUCUUCUGCUGCAGCAUCUCCACUUGCUUUUGUCCUUCAUCUCCCUGAAAUUAUUUGCUUACUCAUCCAUCCAUGUCAGUUGCAAAAGCAUGACUUCCUCUAGUCCAAAGGCCAUUCAUGUUCAAUAUGUUAGCACUCGGAGCGUCUCCAGUGGUUGUUUCAAACAAGGCAAAUGAGUUCAGUUGAACUUUAUAUGUUCUGCCCUCCGACUGUGACUGUUAUUUACUUCCCUCCAAACAAAAUGUAAUAAUAAAAUGACUAACUGAAAAAAAAAAAAAAAAA